rnacentral:rRNA from 1 species
AUACGGAGGAUGCAAGCGUUAUCCGGAUUUAUUGGGCUUAAAGGGUGCGUAGGCGGCUUGCUAAGCGGGAGGUGAAAUGCCGGCGCUCAACGUCGGAAGUGCCUCCCGAACUGGGGGACUUGACUGACUCUGCCGUGGGAGGAAUGUGUAGUGUAGCUGUGAAAUGCUUAGAGAUUACAACGAACACCGAUUGCGAAGGCAUCUCACGAAGGGUUGAUUGACGCUGAGGCACGAAAGCGUGGGGAUCAAACAGGAUUAGAUACCCUGGUAGUCCGCGCAGUAAACGAUGAUGGCUAACCGCUGGGCUUAUCAGUUCAGUGGCCAAGCGAAAGCGAUAAGCCAUCCACCUGGGGAGUACGACCGCAAGGUUGAAACUUAAAGGAAUUGACGGGG